rnacentral:rRNA from 1 species
CGAGAUCUACACCGUCUAAUUCGUCGGCAGCGUCAGAUGUGUAUAAGAGACAGUAAUUUAAUCGUACCGAUAACCGCAUCAGGUCUCCAAGGUGAGUAGCUUCUGGCCAUUGAGUAAUGGUAAUUUAGGGAAUUCGGCCAAUUAGAGCUGUAACUUCGGGAUAAAGCUUGGCUCUGAUGGAAAUCAGAACCGAUAGUUACAAGGAGAGCCCAACUGUUUAAUAAAAACUUAGUGUCGCGUCAUACCUUUAUAAGUAAUAAACGUGACAUGAAUCCUGCUCAGUGCUGUGUUUGUUAAACUGGAUUAAUCCAUUUAAGCGCCGGUAAAUAGCUGGGGUAACUAUGACUCUUAUCAAAGUAGCGAAAUACCUCGUCACUUAAUUAGUGACCUGCAUGAACGGAGCUAUGAGGUUCUCACUGUCCCAAAUUAUCACUCAGCGAACCAACAGUUGUGGGAACGGGCACAAAUUAUCCAGCGGGGAAAGAAGACCCUGUAGAGCUUCACUUUGGUCUAAUCUUGUAUAGUUUCGUUAGGGGUGCAGUCUAGGUGGGAGAUUUUUAAUCAAAUAUGAGAAACCACUACCCUUUCUGGAAUUAUACUUACUAAAAUUCUUUUCUAAAUUUUAGGAUCGGAUUAGAUAGAAAGUUUGGCUGGGGCGGCACACCUUCGAAAAAGCAGCGAAGGUGUCCUAAGUUAAGCUCAGUAAGGACAGAAAUCUUACGUUGAGGAUAAGGCCAAAAGCUUAAUUUACUGUGCCUUUUUGUACUAGGAUCAGUUUGGAAACAAAGGCCUAACGAUCCCUAAUUAGUCUUAGGUGUGUAAGACUUGGGGUGACAGACAAGUUACCUCCGGGACAACUGGCUUGUGGCUGCUAAGAGAUCAAAUCAACGCAGCUUUUUGAUUCUUCGAUGUCGGCUCUUCCUAUCCUAGUGAUGUACAAGUCACUAAGGGUUGGAUUGUUCACCCGUAUUAGGGAUCGUGAGCUGGGUUUAGACCGUCGUGAGCCAGGUUUGUUUUAUCCUACUGGAUAUAAU